AGUGAACGCUGGCGGUAGGCCUAACACAUGCAAGUCGAACGGCAGCACAGGAGAGCUUGCUCUCUGGGUGGCGAGUGGCGGACGGGUGAGGAAUACAUCGGAAUCUACUUUUUCGUGGGGGAUAACGUAGGGAAACUUACGCUAAUACCGCAUACGACCUACGGGUGAAAGCAGGGGAUCUUCGGACCUUGCGCGAUUGAAUGAGCCGAUGUCGGAUUAGCUAGUUGGCGGGGUAAAGGCCCACCAAGGCGACGAUCCGUAGCUGGUCUGGGAGGAUGAUCAGCCACACUGGAACUAGGACACGGGCCAGACUCCUACGGGAGGCAGCAGUGGGGAAUAUUGGACAAUGGGCGCAAGCCUGAUCCAGCCAUACCUCGUGGGUGAAGAAGGCCUUCGGGUUGUAAAGCCCUUUUGUUGGGAAAGAAAUCCAGCUGGUUAAUACCCGGUUGGGAUGACGGUACCCAAAGAAUAAGCACCGGCUAACUUCGUGCCAGCCGCCGCCGUAA
rnacentral:rRNA from 1 species